AUUGAACGCUGGCGGCAGGCCUAACACAUGCAAGUCGAGCGGAUGAAGGGAGCUUGCUCCUGGAUUCAGCGGCGGACGGGUGAGUAAUGCCUAGGAAUCUGCCUGGUAGUGGGGGAUAACGUCCGGAAACGGGCGCUAAUACCGCAUACGUCCUGAGGGAGAAAGUGGGGGAUCUUCGGACCUCACGCUAUCAGAUGAGCCUAGGUCGGAUUAGCUAGUUGGUGGGGUAAAGGCCUACCAAGGCGACGAUCCGUAACUGGUCUGAGAGGAUGAUCAGUCACACUGGAACUGAGACACGGUCCAGACUCCUACGGGAGGCAGCAGUGGGGAAUAUUGGACAAUGGGCGAAAGCCUGAUCCAGCCAUGCCGCGUGUGUGAAGGUCUUCGGAUUGUAAAGCACUUUAAGUUGGGAGGAAGGGCAGUAAGUUAAUACCUUGCUGUUUUGACGUUACCAACAGAAUAAGCACCGGCUAACUUCGUG
rnacentral:rRNA from 1 species